CAGGGGAGCUUGCUCCCUGGGUGACGAGCGGCGGACGGGUGAGUAAUGUCUGGGAAACUGCCUGAUGGAGGGGGAUAACUACUGGAAACGGUAGCUAAUACCGCAUAACGUCGCAAGACCAAAGAGGGGGACCUUCGGGCCUCUUGCCAUCAGAUGUGCCCAGAUGGGAUUAGCUAGUAGGUGGGGUAAUGGCUCACCUAGGCGACGAUCCCUAGCUGGUCUGAGAGGAUGACCAGCCACACUGGAACUGAGACACGGUCCAGACUCCUACGGGAGGCAGCAGUGGGGAAUAUUGCACAAUGGGCGCAAGCCUGAUGCAGCCAUGCCGCGUGUGUGAAGAAGGCCUUCGGGUUGUAAAGCACUUUCAGCGAGGAGGAAGGUGGUGARCUUAAUACGUUCAUCAAUUGACGUUACUCGCAGAAGAAGCACCGGCUAACUCCGUGCCAGCAGCCGCGGUAAUACGGAGGGUGCAAGCGUUAAUCGGAAUUACUGGGCGUAAAGCGCACGCAGGCGGUUUGUUAAGUCAGAUGUGAAAUCCCCGGGCUCAACCUGGGAGCUGCAUUUGAAACUGGCAAGCUAGAGUCUCGUAGAGGGGGGUAGAAUUCCAGGUGUAGCGGUGAAAUGCGUAGAGAUCUGGAGGAAUACCGGUGGCGAAGGCGGCCCCCUGGACGAAGACUGACGCUCAGGUGCGAAAGCGUGGGGAGCAAACAGGAUUAGAUACCCUG
rnacentral:rRNA from 1 species